rnacentral:rRNA from 1 species
UACGAAGGGUGCAAGCGUUACUCGGAAUUACUGGGCGUAAAGCGUGCGUAGGUGGUUCGUUAAGUCUGAUGUGAAAGCCCUGGGCUCAACCUGGGAAUGGCAUUGGAUACUGGCGAUCUAGAGUGCGGUAGAGGCAGUGGAAUUCCCGGUGUAGCAGUGAAAUGCGUAGAGAUCGGGAGGAACAUCUGUGGCGAAGGCGACUGCCUGGACCAGCACUGACACUGAGGCACGAAAGCGUGGGGAGCAAACAGG